CUGAAUUGAUGCCAGCUGUUGAGGCCACCUGUCUUUCUUCAAUCUUCAUUUUUUCAUUUUUCUCUUUUCAAUAUUUAUGUCGGAAACAUUCUUCUUCUUCAUAAUACAACUUGUGCUAUCUUUCAUCUCUAAUGGAUUGCCAUCAGCUGUAAUUCCAACACCCCCCUCGGAGGAACGAACACCCAAUUUGCAUAACAGAAGAUGGUGAGAGGUACCUGUGAGUGGCUUAGUAAAAAGAUUUCGAGCUGGGAAGACGAAGGGAGAAGUGAUAAAGAAAUCAAACUAGCAAGAUAUUGUUGUCGAACAAAGUGGCAAUCUAAGUCAACAUGCUUCGUCCGUUCAUGAAAAACAGGAUUUUUAGCGAUAUGAAUUGUUGCCUGGCUAUCGGAAUGAAGAGAAAUGGGUAGACAAGGAGGCAGUGUAAGAUCCGAAAUAAGAUGGACGAGACAUGUUAACUCAGCAACAACACGACGCAUAGACCUAUACUCUGCUUCGGCAGAGGAAAGUGAAAGAAAAGGUUGCUUUUUCGAUUUCCAAGAAAUUGAACUACCACCGAGGCUAAUGUAGAAACCACUGACCGACUUGCGAGAGUCAGGACAACUGGACCAUUCAGAGUCACAAAAAGCCAAUAAGGUGAAAUAUAGGGAAGAAUUAAGGAAAAUCCCUAAGCCAGGGUCAGAAAGAAGAUACCGAAGGACAUGAUAAGCAGCCAAGAGAUGGGCGUGAUGAGGGCGUUGCAUAUAUUGGCUAAGAUGCUGAACGGAAAAGGAGAUGUCAGGCCGUGUGUGAGUGAGAAAGUUGAGUUAUCCAAUAAGGCGGCGAUAACUAGUGACAUCAGAAAGGGGACAACCCAUAUCAGAUUGUAAUUUCAGGGAGGGAUCCAAAGGGGAAAGAGCGGGUUUAAGUCCAAGGCACUGAUAUUCGGAAAAGAGCUCCAAGAUGAACUUGCGUUGAUUAAGAAUCAAACCAUGUGGUUCCCUGAUAACUUCAAUACCCAAAAAAUAAUGUAAGUCUCCCAAAUCUUUGAUUUUAAAUUCUUAGUCCAAGAAUGAUUUUAGAGCAUCUAGUUCUGCCUUGUUGUCGCAUGUAACUAGAAUGUCAUCAACGUAGACGGCUAGGAUGGGAAUGGAUGAAUCAUGACACUUGUAAAAUAGUGAAUAAUCAUUGAGUGAGUGAGUAAAGCCUUUAAACUACAAGGCUAAAGUCAGACGAGCAUACCACUGUCGUGAGGCCUGUUUUAGUCCGUAAAGAGACUUCUUUAGACGACAAACUUGAGUAUGAUCAUCUACUUUCAAACCAGCUGUAAAAUUUCAUGCAGACUUCCUCAUCUAACUCACCAUGAAGAAAUGUGUUAUUAACGUCUAAUUGAUAUAACCCCACCCCUUCUUAAUGGCAAUAGCAAGCAAACAACGUAUUGUAGUAAUCUUGACGACAGGGCUGAAUGUUUUUGUAAAAUCAAUGACAUCUUUUUAAAAAUCACCUCGUACAACCAACCUAGCCAUUAAUCUCUCGACAGUACCAAGAGAAUUGAGCUUAACUUUGUAUACCCAUUUAGUAGGCAAAGCUUUCUUUCCCGGAGGUAAUGAGACCACGUCCCAAGUGUUGUUACUGAUCAAAGCCUCUAGCCCUUAAUCAUAGAAUCCUUCCAACCCGGAUAUAAAAUAGCUUGGGUAAAAGAAGUAGGUUAUUGAAUAUGGGAUAAAUAAGUGAUAUAAUUCUGGUUAGAGUGAGAUAAUGCAGAGAAAGCGAAAAGAGAAACAGGUGAAGGGGAAGAUAAACAAAUAUCAAACACAGGAGAAAGAUGGACACUGUUGCAAACAUAAUCUUGUAGGUAGGCUGCAGUCUUAACAGAUCUAGUGGAUUUUCGUAAAACAAUAGGAUCUGGAGAAUAAAUAGAAGAAGUAGAAACAAGGGAAUGGGAUACAGAAAUAACAGGAACAGGAGCAGCAGAUGUAUGAGAUGAAAAAUCAGGCUCAUAAAAAACUUGAGGAAUGUCAAAAGGAAACAGAGAAACAAGGGGCUGAAUAGCAGCAAACGGGUAAAUGUCUUCAUGGAGUUUUACAUCCCUCGAAAUAAAACACUUCUGAGAAAUGAGACUUAACAAUUUGUAACCUUUUUUGCCAAAAGGAUAUCCAAGAAAAACACAAGGCUCGGCCCUUGGUGCUAAUUUAGAUCUUCCUUGGGAAAGAGUAGAGGCAAAAGGAAGACACCCAAAACACUUUAAAUGAGAGUAACAAGGAGGAUAAUGAAACAAUCUUUCAUAAGGUGUUUUGAAAAAGAACAACUUAGUGGGGCACCUAUUAAUAAAGUAAGUGGUUGUCAUAAGAGCAUCCCCCAAAAUUUAUGUGGGAGAUGGGACUGAAAAAGAAGGGAUCGACAUAUUCCUAAUAAAUGUUUGUGUUUUCUGUCAGCCACACCAUUUUGUUGUGGUGUGGCGACACAAGAGGUUUGAUGAAUGAUCCCUUUGGAGGAUAGGAAUUUAGAAUUAUCAAAACUGGCACCUAAUUCCCAAGCAUUAUCCGAUCUAAUGAUUUUGAUUUUUUUUUUGAAAUUGUCUUUCUAUCAUAGCAAGGAAGGACUUAAGAAUGGUGAAUGCAUUGAUUUUAGUGGUUAGCAAAAAAGUCCAAGUUCCUCUACUAAUGUCAUCUACGAUGGUCAAAACAUAUGGAUAUCCAUCAUAAGUAGGUGUUUGAAAAGGCCCCCAUGAAUAAAUAUUAAUUAAGUCAAAAAUUUGUUUAGAAGAAAUAUGACUUGUGGGAAAAGGGAGUUUGUGUUGUCUUGCUAAGGGGAAAAUAGAACAUGGCACAAAAAACUUAAAAACAACAGAAACUGGAAUUUCAUUUAUAUGCUGAAUAUUUAAAAGAGGGAUAUGACCCAAUCUUACAUGCCAUAAUCUACUUUUAACAUCAUUAGAAGAAAUACAAGAUAAAGUGGAUGUAACAUCCUUGAAGGAAUGAGAACUACAACUGGAAUUUAUAAGAGAAAGAGCAGCUGGAAGCCUAUUCUUGAGGACAUAGAGACCAUUCCGAUUUUCACCAAGGAGCAUUGGGCUCUUCAUGUAAGGGCCCUGCAUGAAACAAUGAGAAGAGGUAAAAAUUAACAUCUUAGAAAGUUGUUUGCACAACAAAUGGACAAACAACAGGUUGAAGUGAAAACUGGCACAAAUAAAACAUUGUGAAUGAUAAGAUUAGAGAAAAGUUUCACAGAACUUGAAUGUGAGACCUCAACCCUUUGGGAAUUAGGCAAAUUAACACAAAUUGAUUUAGGCAAAGGUUCAAAAUUGAAGAAGAAAUCCUUGUUAUAGCUUAUGUGUUCACUUGCACCUGAGUCUAUUAUCCAAGUUUGCCUAGUGUAGUUGGUAGGAUCAACCUGUAAAUUUAAAGAAAAAGGACUAGGAAAUAGAGUUAUACCAGCACAAUUAGCAGAUGUUGUGACUUCAGAGACAUUGUUGCUUUGAUCAUUGUUUUUCAUAUUUUGGAGCAUUUGCAUCACCUGUGCUAAUUGGUCAAUUGAGAGUAAUUUUCCUUGUUCUGUUAAGUCGACAUCAGCCAUAAGAGAAUUUCCAGAAAACUCAUUUGAGGUGACAGCAUGUCCCUGAACAGAAUUCUUAAAAUUUUUCUGCCUAGUAAAUUUAAAAUUAGGUGGAAAGCCAUGUAGGUUAUAGCAUUUCUCAAUAAGAUGCCCUGCUUUAUUACAAUACUUGCAUAAAAGAGUUGAUCUCUUAGCAUCAUAAGGAACUCUCUGACCCCUGAAAUCAGUAGAAAAAGAUCUUUGACUAGCAUUUGUUUAACUUAUCGCAAUAAAAGAAGAGGAUUCUCCAGGAAAUUUUGGGAUAUUUUGCAACUCCCUUUGCUUCUCCUCCUGAAUCAAUAGUGCAUAAGCAUUUGAAAUAGAGGGUAAGGGUGAGAUCACGAGUAUGUUACCUCUGGCAGCACAAUAAGACUCAUGGAGUCCCAUUAAAAAGUGAACUAGACGUUGAUCUUGUUUAGCCUUAAUGUUUUUCUCUUUUGCUCCACAGGAACACACACAAGAUCAAAUAGUAAAAGAGUCUAAAGUAUCCAAUUCAUCCUAGAGUCGCUUAAUCCUGGUAUAGUAAGCAGUAAUAUCAGAUGACCCUUGGACAAGGUCACUCAGUUCCUUUUGAAGCUGGAAAAGACGAGGGUCAGAGCUCUGACCAAACCUGUCUUCUAAUUCUACCCAAAUAUCUUUAGCAGUGGAGUAAUACAAGACACUUUCAUAAAUUUCUCUAGAAAGAGAGUUCAAUAACCAAGAAAUUACCAUGUUGUUAGAUCUGGACCAAGCUCGAUGUAGGUUUGUUCCUACUUUAGGUUCCACAGUCGAUCCAUUAAUGAAACCUAUUUUGUUCUUAGUAGUUAAGGCUAUCCACAUCCUUCUCUUCCAUCCACCAAAGCUCUGGCCAUCAAAAAUUGUAUCGGCUAGCAAAGUACCAGGAGAAUCAGAAGGUGAUAUGAAGUAAGGAUGAGCAGGGUUAAUCAAUUCAGAAGAGGGUAUAUUGACAGUAGGAAGGGGAACUGUAGUCCCAGUAGCUAUUUCAGAGGUUUCUACCAUGAUAAAACUGAGGGAAAAAUAGAGAUUAGAGCUCUUGCUCUGAUACCAUGAAUGAAUAAACGAAGAAAGAUUGAGAUGAAAUUUUCUGUGUAUCUUAUUUCUGCAUAGCAAGAGUAUAUAUAGGAAAUACAAGGAAUCAAAACCUAACAAACUAACAGAUGUCCUACUUUAAUUGGCUAACUUGUAACAAACUAUUAUUUACAAUAAACAAACAAUUAUUUACAAUUAAUUAAACAUAAAAGAGAUAAUAUUUACAGAAAGAAAAUGUGGAAGGUUCUGAAUUGAUGCUAGCUGUUGAGGCCACCUGUCUUUCUUCAAUCUUCAUUUUUUCAUUUUUCUCUUUUCAUUAUCGAUGUCAGAAACAUUCUUCUUCUUCAUAAUACAACUUGUGCUAUCUUUCAUCUCUAAUGGAUUUCCAUCAGCUGUAAUUCCAACAACAUGACAAUUUUUCUUUCUACUUACAAAUUUUCCCCAUUUAUCAGCUAUAUUACAAUUUUCUGUGGCAAGUCAACUUUUUAUAUCUUCUAAUAGCUAAAUGGUACAGUAUUGUAGAUGUCAAAUGUUCCUCGUUUCACCAUGGUGUCAUAUAUUGCUUAUUUCUUCGUGAUAAAGUCCAAGCGCAGACGGCAUAGACACACAAUGAUCAUCAACAAAAAUGGAACAAGAUGCAAAAUUAGAGAAAACGAAAAGGAAAAAACAACUGAAAUAUAAAUUGUACUGAUAUUUUUGCUACAAUGUAGAUAGAUAUGGCACUAACCAUAUUGACAAGUCUCAGAGCUGCAAGCCGUGUGAAUUGUUACCCAAUCAGUGUUUGAAAAAUAGAAUUACUAAUUCUGACAAAACUUUUCAGAAACAAGAAGUACCCAAAGUAUACUGAAUCUGUACGAGAGAUGAACAUAAAUUAAAUAAAAGAAAUAAAAUAUGUAACGUACCACAAUCUGAAUUUUAUUUGAAUAGAAAAUGAAACAAGUCCACUAAACUCACAAUAUGCCCUUAAGGAAAUUAUUCCCCCCUAGUAUCCGAGGUUUCAUUUGGAAAAUGUCCUCUCAGGGUAAAAUGAUUUCAAUCACUAGCGUAUAGAUAUCGAAAACUCUGGUGUCAGCGAACCACUCAACAGUAGUAAAAUACACGAAGUAAUUUUUAUGCAGAAGAAGAAGAAGAGAUCAGAAAAAAUCAUAAGGAAAUUAUGAAGAGUGAAUGAUAUUUAUAGGGAAGAGGAAUAGGUUCUGAAAUGUUACAACCCUUUCAAGAAUCCACACAACCAUUAAUGAAAGUUUGCAACCUUUCAAAUGGUAAUGAUUAUUCCUGAAAGUUACAACAUUUCAAAUGGUAAUGAUUGUUCCUGAAAGUUGCAACCUUUUAGAACAGUCAUUUCCUAACAGUGGAAAAUUUACAUAAAAGAGGAAAGUUUUUAGAUCAAACAGGUCGCGCGCGGAUCCGAGUUGGGUCGAGUUAAUCAACUAAAAAAUUGAAAAUGUUUCCGUUACCAACCAAUUAAUUAAAAACAUUUUGGCCAUUUCAUUUAAUUAAUUAAUUUAAUAAUUAAAACAAAAUUUGUCCAAAUAAAUAAUCUCUCGAUAGAUCAAUUUCCAAAGCCAUAGCCGAAGCCAUAGUUGUAGCCGAAGCCGAGCUGAGCCGAGCCGAGCAAGCAACGACUACGACGGUGCGAGGGGGGUCCCUCUUUCCAGUCCUUUUAACAAUUAAUAGAAGUAUUUCUAUAUUUAAACUCUCCUAAGUUUCUUUCCACCACUGAUAAGGGAAAAAUGCCUUUUCAUUAAAGCACAAGAGGACUUUGCAAGUUCCCAACUCUUCAAGUUCUCAACUUUUCAAGUUCUCCUCUUUCCCUCUAUUUCCCAUCAAUUCUUGCUACAUACCCAACGAUCCCCCACAUUGAUAGAGAAUGAUUAUAACGUAGGAAUGCACAGACAAGUGUGUACUUUACGGGCAAGGAUUAAUUGAUCUUGAUAGGUAGGUUUCUCCUUGGACUUUCCGUAGUGAACAUAUGUCGGAUAUACUCGGUCAAUCAGUAGAUGCGAUAUCUUUGAACCGUCGAGCUUUGGUGUAUACCUAGACAACCAUAUGUCACACAAUUAACCCUUAAUUAUUUAUGGUUCUUACGGUUGUGUUCGUUUCAGCCAUAAACACCUCAUGGUUUUAUGAGUGUAUAAAGAAUAGGAUUUUGACAUAAAAUUCUCUGUAGCGACUUACAAUUCACACUCAAAUAGGUGAUUUCUAACUGUGUCAUCUCGUAGAUACACUAUUUGGUCAUUUCUACCAAACUCAGCAUACUAUUAAAAACUUUACGCUUUAUUACCUCAUUAACAAGACUUAAAGAUUUAACCAUGUUCUUGAACAUUGUCUUCAUCAUGAGAAUGGAUUCAGUUAAUUGACAAUGUCGAACUGUCAGCCACAACUUUUUUUUUCUCCUUGAAUCUACUGCUUGGGAUCUCCAGUCUGCUAGAUAGAGUUACCGUCAUGUUGAUUUGUCCUAAGCCGUAAACCCAUUUCCUUAUAUGGUCUUUCAACUACCUCUCUUACUAGGUCUUUUGUUAGUGGAUCUGACAAAUUAUCACUUGACUUUACAUAGUCAACUGUAAUAAUUCCACUAGAGAGCAGUUGUCUUAAGCUGUUAUGUCUCCUUCGUAUAUGAAGAGACUUUCCGUUGUACAUGACGCUCCCUACCCUACCUAUUGCUGCUUGACUAUCGCAAUGUAUGCAAAUAGAUCCAACAAGUUAAGGCUAGAAUGGAAUAUCUCUAGGAAUUUCUGGAGCCAUUCAACUUCUUCACCAGCCUUAUCCAAAGCGAUGAAUUCAGAUUCCAUUGUGGAGAGAACAAUACAUGUUUGUUUGGAGGAUCACCAUAUCCUUCAAUCACAUCAGGAUAUUUAUUAUAAUUCAAAGCAUAGUGUGUGUAUAUUUCAGAUACCCCAACACACGUUUCAUUGCCAUCUAGUGAUUUUGAUUCCAGUGAACCGACUGAUUUUGUUAAUAACACAUUCUAUAUCUGGACGUGUACAAUUCAAAAUAUACAUCAAACUUCCCAAUACUUUGACAUAUUCAAAUUGAAAGUCACUUUGGCCUGCAUUCUUUUGAAAUGUACAACUUAAACCAAUUGGAGUUAUGACAACAUUGAAAUUCAAGUAAUUUAACUUAUCCAAUACUCUUUCAAUAUAAUGAGAUUGAGAUAGUGCUAGUCCCUGGGUAGUUUUUAUAAUCCUGACCUUUAAGAUCAAAUCAACAACUUCUAAGUCCUUCAUAUCGAACUUGAUGGACAACAUGUGCUUAGUAUCAUUUAUAUUGUCAAUGGAUUUACUCAUUAUUAACAUGUCAUCAACAUGUGAACAAACAAUGACUUCAUGAUUCAUAACGUUUUUAAUGUAAACACGUUUAUCACAUUCGUUAAUCUUAAAUCUAUUUGUCAACAUUGUUUGGUCAAAUUUAGCAUGCCAUUGUUUGGGUGCUUUAUUGAGCCCAUAAAGUGGCUUCACAAGUCUGCACACUUUCUCUUCUUUACUAGGAACUACAAACCCUUCAAGUUGUUCCAUAUAAAUUUCUUCCUCCAACUCUCAAUUUAAGAAAGCUGUCUUUACAUCUAUUUGGUGGAUUUUAAGAUCAUGCACUGUUGCUAGUGCUAUUAACAUCCUAAUUGAUGUUAUCCUUGUUACUGGAGAGUAUAUGUCAAAGUAGUCCAUACCUUCCUUUUUUCUGUGCCCUUUGACUAUCAGUCUAGCCUUCUAUUUUUCAAUAGUCCCAUCAGGUUUCAUUUUCCUUUUAAAGAUCCACUUUGAUCGUAAAGGUUUAUUUCUUGGAGGAAGAUCAGCCAAUUCCCAAGUGUGGUUACUUAAAAUUGAUUCGUUCUCACUAUUGACUGCUUCUUCAAGUUAACUCAUACGAAGACAUAGUUGCUUUAAAUGUCUGAGGCUCAUUAUCAAGUAAUAGUUCCACAAAAUUUGGUCCAAAAGAAGCAAGUUUCCAUUGGCGAGUACUACACCUAGAAUCCUUACUAUAUAGUGUAUUUUCCGUUGAUUCUUUGCAUUGUCGUUUAGGUCUUUCAUUUGUCGACUCGUAUUCAAUUUUUUACAGACAAAUGUUUUCAAAAACUCUAAGUUAUAUGACUCAAUUAUUGUAUUAACAUGAAUCUCAGGAUUAUCAAAUUUGUGAACCAAAAAUCAAAGGCCUUACUGUUCACAACAUACCCAAUAAAUAUACAGUCUACUAUUUUGGGUCAAAUUUUAACCCUCUUUGGAAUAAGAACUUCUACGUUGGCUAAACACUCGCACACUUUGAAAUAUUUCAAGUUGGAUUUCCUUUCUUUCCACAACUCAUAUGAAAUUGAUUGUGUUUUUCGAUUGGGUACUCUAUUGAGUAUCUUAUUAGCCGUAACGAUAGCUUCCCCCCAAAGGUUUCACGGUGAAAUAUAAUUGAUCAUCAAGGCAUUCAUCAUUUCCUUUAAUGUUCUGUUCUUCCGUUCUGCCAAACCAUUUGACUAUGGUGUAUAGGGUGCAAUAGUUUGAUGAAUAAUACCAUAUUCCAAACAUAUCUCUGCAAAAGGAGAUUCAUAUUCUCCACUCAUAUCACUUCGAAUCAUUUUUAUCUUUAGAUUCAAUUGGUUCUCCAUUUAAAUUUUUUAUUGCUUACAUGCAUCAAUUGCUUCAUCCUUAAUAUUAAGCAAAUAUACAUAAUAAUAGAAUGCAAUCAUCAAUAAAAGUUAUAAAAUACUUUUUUCCACCACGAGAUGAUGCCAAUUUCAUAUCGCAUAUAUUUGUGUGAAUUAAGUCUAAAGUUUUGGAAUUUCUUUCAACAGACUUAUAAGGAUGUAUAAUAAACUUACUUUCCACAUAAAUUUACAAUUUUGAUUUAUCGCGUUUAAAAUUAGGCAAUACUUCUAGAGUAACAAAUUUUUGCAAGGCUUUGUAAUUUACAUGUCCUAGAAGGGCAUAUGCCAAAAAUCAUUUGACUCCAAUAAGUAAACAGUACCAGAAUUCUUAUUAAUAUUGUCAACAACCAUUACAUUCAGUAUGAAAACACCCUCAUUGAGGUAGUCCUUUCCUAUGAAUAUGUAAUUCUUACUUAUACCCAUUCAUAACGAGUAGUGUAGCAGAAACUAAAUUCUUCCUAAUAGUAGGGCCAUGCAGAACACUGUUCAAAGUGAACACCUUUUUGAAUGUCAUUUUUAACAUUACUUUCCAAGUUCCUGCAAUCCUUGCUAUUGUGUUUCCCCUGAAAAAAUGUUUAUCGUACUAAGCAAGAGGGUAUGUUGCAAAGGUUUCUUUCGCAGAUAAAAUAUGUCGAGUGGAACCUGAGCCAACAAACCACUCCUUAGGAUUUCCGACUAAGUUACGCUCAGAGAUCAUCGCACACAAGUCAUAUGUAUCUUCCAUAUCUUCCACGAUUUUUUCUUGACUUUUGGCUUUGCCUUUGUCUUUGUCCUUUUGUUGGAGCACAACAAUCAGAAGGCCUAUGACAAACCUUACCACAUUGUAAUAGUUGCCUUUGAAUUUGUUCUUGGCCUGUUCUGACUUCUGCCCAUUGGACUUCUUUCUCUUUUUGUCUUUGGUAGGAGCUUCUUCAACAAUAUUAACUCCAAUGAUUGUUGAACUCUUACGAGACUUCUAUUCAGCAGUUUUGUUAUAUUCCUCAAUCUAGAGCCGAAUCACAAGAUCUUCAAGCUUCUUUUCUUUACACUUGUGCUUUAGAUAAUUCUUUAAUUCGUUUCACAAAGAGGCAACUUCUCAAUCAUUGCAGCAUUUCAAAAACUUCAUUUACUACCAUAUAUUCAGCAAUCAUAUCAUGGAGAAUAAGUUGAAGUUCCUGCACUUAUGAUCCAACAGUUUUACUAUCUACCAUUUUUUUGUCCAAAAACUUUGCGACCACAAACUUUUUAAGCAUGCAUCUUCAAUCUUAUAUUUUUUUCUCAAGUGCAUCCCAUAAAUCUUUUGAAGUUAUCAUUGCACUAUAGACAUUAUAUAAGUCAUUCUCUAAAGAACUCAAAAUGUAGCAUUUACGUAGGAAGUCUGCCUGUUUCCAUACUUCAAUAAUCAUGAAUUUUUUCUGUCUAGCUUAUCACCAGCAGGCACUGGAGUUUCCUCACUGGUAAUUUUCUGUAGACAAAGAGCGGUAGGCCAGAAAAAUACCCGUUGCUGCCAUCCUUUGAAAUUUACACUAGUAAAUUAUCCGGUUUCUCUACUUGUGGUACAACAGUUUGAGUUUGUGCAGCAACAAACACUCUAACACCGUUGUUUGCCAAUUCUCAUGAAAAAAAUAGAUACAGCCUUAGUAAGUAAUAACAUAUAAUUGCAGACUUUAAGGAGCAUAAAAUCAUAAAGAUUUAUGUCUCACUAGAAACACAUAUUGAUAAUAAUAAAUAAUUUCCUUAAGAUUGUUGCCCAAUUUGUGUUUAAAAAAUAGCAUUACUGAUUCUGAAAAAACUUUGCAGAAAUACGAAGUAACCAAAAUUUACUGAAUUAGAACGAGAGAUGAACAUAAAUUAAUUUUAAAGAAUUACAAUCUUUAAUGUACCAGAAUCUAGACAAAUUCGAACAGAAAAAGAGCAAGUCCACUAAACUCACAAUGUCCCUUAAGGAAAUUAUUCCCUCAAUUAUCCGAGUCGGGUCGUAUGUAACACAAUUUAUUCAAAACAUACCAAAAAUCAGUUUUUCAAAAAAUCUGCCGGUGCAAUCGACGGACCAUAGGCUGACCCACGAUUCGUCCUCCACAUCUGUUGAUUGAGUUUGAAACCCCAAAAAUCCCAGCCUAGAAAAAUUUGACGAAGUGUCGAACGACAGACGGACCUAUGGUCUAUAGGUCAUAUUACGAUCCGUAGUCUUUGUCUAUCGGUCAACACGCCAUUUACCCACUCUCUGACAUGAAUAACGAUUGACCAGUACGGUCCAUACAUAGACCUUUGGACCAUAGGUUAAAAUUAGUAGACAGUUAGGGGGGAAAUACAGUUAGGUUGACUUUAAAUGGUCAUAACUCUUAGCACAAAAUAAAUUAGGUGUCCCAUGAUAUACCAAAAGAUAGAUAAUUGAAUUAGCUUUCCAUAUAUACUGAUCUUGCUAAAAUCAAACCUCUGAGUAAAAAGAUAUGAUCGUUUUAGUAAAGGCCUCUUGAAUAGACCCAACCUAUGGACCCAAACGACGGAUCGUCAGUCCUGGUUGUCACUUGAUUCGACAUCAAUUAACUCAGGGGUCUUUUGGUCUUUUCCCACUUCAUUUAAAUCCUAAGAUAUGUCAUUUUGAUCCUAAUCAGAUCUAGAAACAUAACUAAAACUUACCUAAGUCAAAUCAUUAAUCAAAACUUAGAACAUUAGAAGCAAUAAAGGAGAAAAAGGUCAGGAACCCUAGUUCAAGAACGCAACAAGGUUCCAGCAGUUCAAACCCCAAAAUCUAAGUGUUUCUCCGUGAAUUUCAUCACUAGGUAUGUGGGAUUUCAAUAGUGGCUUCCUUUCACCCAUUGGGUCCUAGUUUUCAAUCAGUUCAUGAUUCUAUUAUCAUUAUUAAACCUAGGGUUUCUAUAUCUACAACAUAUCAUCAUAAAUUAGUUAAAUAUAUGUUCCAAAUUAAAUUGUUAAGUUAUUAUUCAGUUUAUCGCUUGAAUUUCAAAAUCCUAACUACGUAUUUCUUUAGAUCCUUAAUUACUCAUGCUAGGUCAGAUAUUUCAGUUACUUCCGAUAUAGAUGCCUUAGUUAUAAAUGCAUAAUUACCAGAUUAGUUGUUGCAUGUUCAAUUUUGAGUUAUCCAAUAUUUACAUAAACUCAUUCAUAAUCAAUUAAGUACAUAUUUCAUUGGGAGUAUCAUAAUAUCGAGUUGGACUUGGGUUAGGUUGUAAGUUCCCUUUGUGGGCAAUCAGUUUAGUGAUCACGCCAGCAUGCCUUUAUACCUCUGGCAAGGUAUAUUGGGUCCUCUCAUUGGGUGUAUAUAUCGGACUCCAUAUUUAGAUCAUGUGGUUUUAUUAUCAGUUAUUAGUAGCUCCCACAGUUCAGUCAGACUCUAUUGCAUUGACCAUUUAUCAUUAUAUUCAGUAUUCAGUUCCAGCAUGUUAUAAAUUGGUCAUUGCAUUCAGUAUAUCAUGUUCAAAUUAUUAUAAUUGCUUUUGUGCUUGUUCCAUUAUGUUUUAUUUCAUCUUUACUCUAUCCUACAUGCUCAGUACCUUAAAGUAUUGAUGCAUACUUGUGCUACAACUUCUCGUGAUGUAGGUUCAGAUUCUCAGCAUCCAGAUCACACAUAGAUCGAUUAUCGAUCCCCAGUUCUGCAGAUUCAGUGUUGAGCCCUCAUUCUUCAAAGACAAUAGACAUGAGUUCAUUUCAGUAUUUUUGUCAUUUAGUUUCAGUUUUUUCUAGACUUAGCAGGGGUUUGUCUCCGUAUUUCUAGUCAAAUAUAGGAUUAUUUCAGACAUAGUUAGUUUCAGCCUAGAAGUGAGUUAAUAUUUUCUUUGUAUUAAACUCCUCAAUUUUCAUAUGUCUUAGUUUAAGCAUAUGGGUAUUCCCCAACUUUUCAUUUUAAGUAUGAUUUAGCUUCCUCAACAGUUUAUAUUUUUAUGUAUGGUCAUGAUCAUGCCAGCAGGGUUAGCUUGGGAUCACUUGUGGUCCUUGGUCCCGUGUACGAGUCUUGGGGAUAGCUCGGGGUGUGACAGUUUUGGCCAUUUAAUUUAAAUAAUUAAAACUGUAGCUGAAGCCAAGCAAGCGACGACAACGGCGCUAGGGUGUCCAUCUUUUCAACCAUUUUAACAAAUAAUAGGAGUGUUUCUAUAUUUAAACUCUCUAUUUUUCUUUCCACCACCGAUGAGAGACAAAUGCCUUUUUAUUAAAGCAUAAGAAAAAUUUUC
rnacentral:lncRNA from 1 species